GUACUUAUUAAUUUAUUAAAAUUUAUUGUUUGAGCUAUUAUGUUGCUUUUUAUGCUUAAUAUUGCCAAAUUUGAUAGCCGGUCUUCCGUCAUAGUUGAUCGAAUGUAUGUCUUGAGAAGUUUAAGCCUGUUAAAACUUCUUUCUGCACAGUUGCAUUGUCAUGAAUUGCCUCGUCUUUUUCUUUAACUAAUCGCCUCGCUCCACCAGACAGUCGAAUCUUUUUAUUAUGAGCUUUCGUCAUUCACGUUGAAUUCGACAAAAGCACAAGUGCGCAACACAACACAGUAAGACGGUGGCGAGCAGAACGAACGGACGCUCG